rnacentral:rRNA from 1 species
UACGUAGGGUGCGAGCGUUGUCCGGAAUUAUUGGGCGUAAAGGGCUCGUAGGCGGUUUGUCGCGUCGGGAGUGAAAUCCACUGGCUUAACUGGUGGCUUGCUUCCGAUACGGGCAGACUAGAGGUAUGCAGGGGAGAACGGAAUUCCUGGUGUAGCGGUGAAAUGCGCAGAUAUCAGGAGGAACACCGAUGGCGAAGGCAGGUCUCUGGGCCGAUACUGACGCUGAGGAGCGAAAGCGUGGGGAGCGAACAGG